UGGGGAAUUUUGGACAAUGGGGGAAACCCUGAUCCAGCCAUCCCGCGUGUGCGAUGAAGGCCUUCGGGUUGUAAAGCACUUUUGGCAGGAAAGACACGUCAUGGGUUAAUACCCCGUGAAACUGACGGUACCUGCAGAAUAAGCACCGGCUAACUACGUGCCAGCAGCCGCGGUAAUACGUAGGGUGCAAGCGUUAAUCGGAAUUACUGGGCGUAAAGCGUGCGCAGGCGGUUCGGAAAGAAAGAUGUGAAAUCCCAGAGCUCAACUUUAGAACUGCAUUUUUAACUACCGGGCUAGAGUGUGUCAGAGGGAGGUGGAAUUCCGCGUGUAGCAGUGAAAUGCGUAGAUAUGCGGAGGAACACCGAUGGCGAAGGCAGCCUCCUGGGAUAACACUGACGCUCAUGCACGAAAGCGUGGGGAGCAAACAGG
rnacentral:rRNA from 1 species